rnacentral:rRNA from 1 species
AUUGAACGCUGGCGGCAGGCCUAACACAUGCAAGUCGAACGAGUGGCGGACGGGUGAGUAAUGUCUGGGAAACUGCCUGAUGGAGGGGGAUAACUACUGGAAACGGUAGCUAAUACCGCAUACCAUCGGAUGUGCCCAGAUGGGAUUAGAUAGUAGGUGGGGUAACGGCGCACCUAGGCGACUAUCCCUAGCUGGUCUGAGAGGAUGACCAGCCACGCUGGAACUGGGACACGGGCCAGACUCCUACGGGAGGCAGCGGUAGGGAAUAUUGCACAGUGGGCGGAAGCCUGAUGCAGCCAUGCCGCGUGUAUGAAGAAGGCCUUCGGGUUGUAAAGUACUUUCAGCGGGGAGGCGGUACCCGCAGAAGAAGCACCGGCUAACUCCGUGCCAGCAGCCGCGGUAAUUC